rnacentral:misc_RNA from 1 species
AGCAGCCGCGGUAAUUCCAGCUCCAAUAGCGUAUAUUAAAGUUGCUGCAGUUAAAAAGCUCGUAGUUGAAUUUCGGGACUAAUAUGUCGGUCGUGCCUCGGUACGUACUGGCUUAUUGGUUUCUCCUUUCUGAAGAACCAUGAUGUCAUUUAUUUGGUGUCGUGGGGAAUCAGGACUGUUACUUUGAAAAAAUUAGAGUGUUUAAAGCAGGCUUACGCUUGAAUACAUUAGCAUGGAAUAAUGAAAUAGGACGUUUGAUUCUAUUUUGUUGGUUUCUAGGAUCGACGUAAUGAUUAAUAGGGAUAGUUGGGGGCAUUAGUAUUCAAUUGUCAGAGGUGAAAUUCUUGGAUUUAUUGGAGACUAACUACUGCGAAAGCAUUUGCCAAGGAUGUUUUCAUUAAUCAAGAACGAAAGUUAGGGGAUCGAAGACGAUCAGAUACCGUCGUAGUCUUAACCAUAAACUAUGCCGACUAGGGAUCGGAUGAUGUUAAUUUUUUAAUGACUCAUUCGGCGCCUUACG